AUGGGAGUUCCCGUCGCGCGGAAGUCCGAUUCUUGGGUUACCGACCUUGCGAUGACGGACUGCGGCGCCGGCGACCGCUCCGACCUCGGCGUCCGGCCUAUUAACGGUGGCCGAGGUGCCGCCAUGGAACAGCGCGGUGACGGGUUGGAUGGGGCUACCAUGUCCCCACCGGAGCGUGUCCCUACACCGUCUUCGUCGAGGUCUGCUAGGUGGCGGCGUUUCUCCUCACCUGGUCCUCUCCGAUGCUCAACGCCAGGGAGUAUUGGUUAUGAAGACGGUGAGGACUCAGACCGAGACCGGUAUUUCUCCCCGGGCAGUGAGUUUUCUCAAGAUACUUCUGAUACGGAUUCCGUGAGCACAAAUAUUAGUAGGCUGUACACAUUCAGGUUGGGAAAUUCGAGCCCGUUAUAUAGUCCUAUGAGACGAUCGGGACAAGUAGGCACAAGUCCUCCCUCCGGGAUAAAUGGUCAUGCCAGCCAAAAUUCUCCUAUAUACUCUUUGAAUUCUGGCCAUGGCUAUGAUGAUGGUGACUAUUUGAUGGAUUCACCGAAUUGCGAUGAUGAACAUCAUGACAAUAUUAUACAGCCAAUUGAUUUUGAGAGUAAUAAUGGACUCAUAUGGCAUCCUCCGCCGCCUCAAGAUGAGGGUGAUGACUCCGAAAACGGUUUCUUUCAAUAUGAUGACGACGAUGAUGACAGUGCUAUUGGUGAUGGGAAGACCUUUGAACGUGUUAACCAUGAGUGCGGUGGUAGUGAGGAUUUACCAGGGACCAAAGGAAAACAGAAUAUAGCUCAUAAAGAGUUCUUAAGGAAUGCUUUACAUGGGCAUUUCAGGGCUCUUGUGUCCCAAUUGCUCCAAGGUCAUGGAGUUGACCUCGUGGAUGGAUGGUCGGACAUAGUAUCCUUAUUAGCAUGGCAGGCAGCUACCUUUGUGCAGCCAGAUACAAGCAAAGGUGGUAGCAUGGAUCCCACCAACUAUGUCAAAGUUAAAUGCGUAGCAUCAGGGACUCCCAACGAUAGUACUUUCAUUAAAGGCGUUGUUUGUUCUAAGAAUGUAAAACAUAAACGCAUGGUGUCAAAGCACGAGAAUCCUAGAAUUCUUCUUUUGGGAGGAGCACUGGAACAUCAAAAGGUUACAAACAAACUAGCAUCAAUAAACAGCAUUCUUGAACAGGAAAAGGAAUAUCUUAAGAAUGCUGUUGCAAAGAUAGAGGCCCAACGGCCUCAUGUCUUGUUGGUUGAAAAGAGUGUGCCGAUGUAUGCUCAACAGCUUCUUGCAAAAGAUAUAUCUUUAGUACUGAAUGUCAAGAGAUCACUUCUAGAACGGAUAUCACGCUGCACAGGUGCUAAAAUUGCUUCAUCCAUUGACAAUAUCACUUCAGCAAGACUUGGACAAUGCCAAGCUUUCUGGAUUGAAAGAGUUGCAGAAUCUUUAGCUCCGAAGGACUCUAACAGAAAAUCUAUCAAGACACUGAUGUUCUUUGAUGGUUGUCCAAGACGCUUGGGCUGCACGGUCCUCCUAAGGGGCACAUCCUAUGAAGAGUUAAGGAAGGUCAAACUCGCUCUGCAAUUUGCUGUAUUUGCAGCAUAUCAACUAUCACUGGAGACUUCAUAUCUUGCAGAUGAGGGUGCAACACUACCAAAGACCCCUUCGGAUCUUCCGGUUCGUCCACUUGAGAAGCAUAUGAAUGGUGGAGAUAUUUCCUCAAGUAAUUCUCGGCAGAAUUUGAAUGAUUUUCAAAUCAUUGGUGACAGAACUUCAGAAAAGGGCUGCAUCGUGCCUCUAAAUUUCCUUGAUAGUUCUUCAAAAGUGUUAACUAUUGACCAAUCCCUUUUGAAACCUAACCUUGGUCAGGAAGAAUACAUUCCUGGAACUGAUGACACGUUUUCUCAUCCCCCAACAUUGUUUAUCGAUAAUGAUUGUGAAUCACCUCUAGUUGGAAAAGGGACUCCAACAGAUUUGCAAUACCCUGACGACGUUCAUCGAGAUGAGAUGGUUGGUGGGAUUUAUAGAGUUGAAAGUGAGUUGGACAAUGGUUGCCAUCAUACAUCAGACGAAGAACAUGCAGGAGUAACCGUACCUGAUCAUAACGAGAACCCCACCGAGUAUUUCCCAACAUCCGAGAAUGCACAGAGCAUUUUGGUUUCCUUGUCCGUUGCAUGCCCUCAGAAAAGAAUUGUAUGCAAGCAAUCUCAGCUCUUCCGCAUAAAGUUCUACGGUAAUUUUGAUAAGCCACUUGGGAGGUAUUUUCGUGAAGAUUUAUUUUAUCAGACUUCGUGCUGUGAGUCUUGCAAAGAACCUGCAGAAUCUCAUGUCCAAUGUUAUACUCAUCAACAAGGCAGUCUUUCAAUAGGUGUUAGAAAUCUUGAAUCUGUAAAGCCGUUACCUGGACGGAACGAUGGGAAGAUAUGGAUGUGGCACAGGUGCCUCCGGUGCAAACAAAAAAAUGGAAACCCUCCGGCAACACACAGAGUAGUGAUGUCUGAUGCGGCAUGUGGACUUUCUUUUGGGAAGUUUCUUGAACUUAGCUUUUCGAAUCACACAACAGCCAAUCGAGUUGCCUGCUGUGGACAUUCCCUCCAGAGGGACUGUCUUCGUUUUUAUGGGUUCGGAAGCAUGGUUGCUGUCUUCCGUUAUUCUCCUGUGGACAUCCUAUCUGUCAACUUGCCACCCUCAGUAUUAGACUUUGCUUAUCCAGUAGCACAAGAUUGGCUCAUCGAGGAGGCUGGUGAUGUAGCCAAUAGGAAGGAUAACUUUUACAGGGUGAUUUUUGACAAUCUUGACUGCAUUGAAAAGACAGUUUCAGCCCAAGAAGAUCUGAGCAUGAAGGCGGGCUUGUAUAAACAUGUUGUUGAUCUUAAAGAUCUGAUUAAAGUUGAGUGGAAGAAAUAUGACGUUUUGUCGGGGUUUGGUAGCAUACAGAAGUUACAAACAAUUGGAGAACCUGUAGAUGUUCUAGAGCUCAACCGCCUGAGGCGAGAGCUUGUACUUGAUGCACAUGUAUGGGAUCGCCGUCUGCACAUGAUGCACUCACUCACCAAGAAAAACUGUACUGCGGCAACUGAUGCACAGUGUCCUAAGAAAUUUCCUGAAAGCGUGUUAGAAGAUUCAAAGGCUGAGAUUUCCAGCACACAGGAAAAUAUGGAGAAGUCACUAGAAUAUUCUCAGUCAAGUUCUCUUAUCACAGAUAGUGGGAAGCCAUUGCUCAGAAGAGAACAUGGUGACACAACUGUGUCACAUUCUGGGUUGACCAACAUAGAUGAAGUAUACCACCAGUCUGUUGAAGGCUCUGCUAGUUUUGCUGGUCUCCACAUUGUCCCGCACCCAUGUGAAGUACAGAGCAACGGGGUGGUGGCUGAUGAACUUAAGCUUGAGAAGACAUUGGAGAAGUCAGAGUCUUCCCCAUCAAAUCUUUCUGAUAGAAUUGACUUGGCAUGGACUGGCUCUGGCGUGGAGACACUUCUAGUUGCACCUACUGCUCUGAUGAAUGGCUCCUCAUACCAGAAUGUUAUGGCUCCAAUUAGAAUUAAAUCAUUUGAUUCUGGAAUCAAUUUCAGAAAUGGGUUAUCACCUGUCGACGAUUCAAAUGUAAGCAUAAGAAGAGCUUAUUCCCAAAGGCCUCCUAGGGCGCUUGAGAGAACAGGCAGGGGUUUGUCCCCGACCUUCACAAAUAAGCUGUCACUUCCUGGUAUGGUUGAUGGUGAGGGUCGUUUCCUUCUAUCACAAAGUGUUUCAGAUGUUGUUAUUCCAGUGUAUGAUGAUGAGCCGUCCAGUAUGAUAGCCCAUGCCAUGACUGUUCCAGAAUAUCGUAGUUUCAUGUUGCCAGUGCUGAAUCUGCAUAAUGAAUUGGACAGACCUAGUGUUUUGAACUCUCUGGAUCAGAAUUCUACUUCUAGAAGCUGGUCAGAUGUAUCUCAAAUGAAUUCCAAGGAUAUUCAUUUGACGGUUUCUUUUGAGGAUGAAGACUCGUGUUCUGUGGAUAAGGCAAAAUUUUCUGUCAUAUGUUAUUUUGCAAAGCAGUUUGAUUCAAUCAGAAAAAAGUGUUGUGCAGAUGAACUGGAUUACAUUCGUUCUUUGAGCCGGUGCAAGAGAUGGAGUGCUCAAGGUGGCAAGAGUAAUGUAUACUUUGCCAAGACACUGGAUGACAGAUUUGUCAUAAAGCAAGUGACACGGACGGAAUUAGAUUCAUUUGAGGACUACGCAACUGAGUACUUCAAAUAUAUAACAGAGUCUGUAUCCUCUGGAAGCCCAAUUUGCCUUGCUAAAGUUCUUGGUCUUUACCAGGUCGUUGCCAAGAACAUGAAAGAUGGAAAGGAACUGAAGAUGGAAUUAAUGGUCAUGGAAAACAUAUUUUUCAAGAGGAAGGUAUCAAGAAUAUAUGACCUGAAAGGAUCCCUGCGUUCCCGUUACAACCCUGAUACAUCAGGAAACAAUAAGGUUCUCUUAGAUCUCAAUCUAUUAGAGACACUUCAUACAAAACCCAUUUUUCUUGGAAGCAAAGCAAAAAGAAGGUUGGAACGAGCUGUCUGGAACGAUACUUCUUUUCUGGCAUCAGUGGGUGUGAUGGACUACUCCCUCCUGGUUGGCAUCGACGAGGAGAAGAAGGAGCUGGUGAUGGGGAUCAUUGACUAUCUCCGGCAGUACACAUGGGACAAACAGCUGGAGACCUGGGUGAAGGCGUCGGGGAUUCUAGGGGGCUCCAAGGACGGGAUGCCCACCAUCAUUUCUCCAGACCAGUACAAGAAGAGGUUCAGGAAGGCCAUGUCAAAGUACUUCCUAACUGUCCCCGACCAAUGGUCACCUUGA
rnacentral:rRNA from 1 species